rnacentral:rRNA from 1 species
UACGUAGGGGGCAAGCGUUGUCCGGAUUUAUUGGGCGUAAAGCGCGUGUAGGCGGCCAGGUAGGUCCGCUGUGAAAACCCGAGGCUCAACCUCGGGACGUCGGCGGAAACCAUUUGGCUAGAGUCCGGAAGAGGAGAGUGGAAUUCCCGGUGUAGCGGUGAAAUGCGCAGAUAUCGGGAGGAACACCAAUGGCGAAGGCAGCUCGCUGGGACGUUACUGACGCUGAGACGCGAAAGCGUGGGGAGCAAACAGG